rnacentral:lncRNA from 1 species
GUUUAUUAAGUAAAGGAAUAAAGAAUGGCUACUCCAUAGGCAGAGCAGCCCCACUUUAUAAAUUGAGUUUGGGAACUUAGAGAUGACUGAAAACUUUUUAAUAUAGUGGUUAUCCCAGAAAGCAGAUGUCCUCAUGGUAUGUUAUUUUCAAUUUUAACUGACACCUAAACACAGUUAUAAAAGUAAAACAUUCAUUGUGAAAAUGUAAAAAGAAAUAGGCAUAAAAAUGAAAAUUAACAUCUCUUAUCCUAAUACCAGAGGAAAAAAAUAUUUUGAUGUAUUUCGUUCUAAUCCUAAGAAUUUGGCCUGGUGUGUAUACCUUUUCCCCUGAAGAUAGAAUAAUACUAUAUAUAAUUUUAUGCCUUGCUUUAUUUAACAUGCUAUCAUGCUAUCAUAAGCGUUUUCUUGUGUCAUUAAUAUUCUUCAAAAAUGUGACUUUUAAUGCUCUAGCAACCCUGUGUUGUAAUGUGAGCUGUGAUAGGAGCAUCGUGCUAGUGAGUGAAACCCUGGUAAUGUUACCACAGCAGGACUUGUAAGCGAAGGACCACUUUCCCUUGGCUUUUCCUCUUGCUUCUUCAUACCUUUGCUGUCACCUUAGUGUUUGUCCUUUCUGCACAUCUGAAAAUUCUGUGAAUUAAACCUGAAAGCUCUCUUCUCCCCACUGAUUUUUGCUUCAUGAUUUUAUUUAUAACAGCUUUAUUGGGAAAAUUCACAUAUUAUAAUGAUAAUUCCCAAAUUCUUUAUUGAGAUAAUUCACAUAAAAUUCACCAUCUUUAAAGUAUACGAUUUAAUUGUUUCUAGUAUAUUCACAGAUUAGUGCAGCCAUUACCACUGUCUAAGUUUAGAACAUUUUCAUUACCAAAAAGAAACCCUUACCCUUUACCCAUCACUUCUCAUUUCCCCCAGCCCUCCUAGCUGUGGACAACCACUAAUCUACUUUCUGUCUCUAUAGAUUUACCUGUUCUAGGUAUUUCAUGUAAAUGGAAUCACGCAAUAUGUAGACUUUCGUGACUGGCUUCUUCCAUUUAGCAUACUGAUUUUAAGGUUUAUCCAUGUUGCAGCAUGUAUCAGUACUUUAUUCCUUUUUAUGGGUGAAUAUUAAUUCCAUUGUGUGGGUAUACCACAUUGUAUUUGUCCCUUCAUCAAUUAAUGAGCAUUUGGGUUCUUUGCACAUUUUGGCUAUUAUGAAUACUGCUAUGAACAUUUCUGUACACAUUUUUGUAUGAACAUCUAUUUUCAGUUCUCUUGGGUAUAUACCUAGGUGUAGAAUUGCUCGCUCAUAUGGUAAUCUGUGUUUAACUUUUUGAGGAAGUGCCAAAUUGUUUUCCACAGUGGCUGCCCCAUUUUACAUUCCCACUGACAGCAUAUAAGGGUUCCUAUUUCUUCACAUCCUCACCAACACUUGCUCUUUUACUUUUUCUUUCUUAAUUUUUUUAAAUUUUUUUUUGAGGCAGGAUCUUGCUGUGUUGCCCAAGCUGGAAUGCAGUGGUGCAAUCAUGGCUCACUGCAGCCUCAGCCUCCCAGGCUCGGGUGAUCCUCCCACCUCAGCAUCUCAAGUAGCUGGGACUACAGGCACAUGCCACCAUGCCUGGCUAAUUUAAAAAAUUUUUUUAAGAGAUAGAGUCUUACUGUAUUGCCCAGGUUUGUCUAGAACUCCUCCUCAAGUGAUCCUCCUGCCUCACCCUCUCAAAGUGCUGGGAUUACAGGCAUGAGCCCCUGUGCCUGGCCUUCUUUUACUUAAAAGAAAAAUCGUUAUAGCCAUCCUAGUAGGUAUGAAGUGGUAUGUCCUUGUGGUUUUGAUUUGCAUUUCUCUAGUGACUAAUGAUGUUUAGCAUCUUUUCGUGUGCUUAUUGGCCAUUUGUGUAUCUUUUUUGAAGGAAAUAUCUUCAGGUCUUUUGGCCAUUUUAAAAUUGGAUUGUUUGCCUUUUUUGUUGUAAGAGUUAUUUAUAUAUUCUUGACACUAGUCCCUUAUCAGAUAUAUGAGCGGCAAAUGUUUUUUUCCUUUGUGUAUGUUGACUCUUCACUUUCUGAGUGGUGUCUUUUGAGUCAUAAAAGUUUUUAAUUGUGAUGAAGUCCAGUUGAUCUUUUUUUUUUCUUUUGUCUUUUGUGCUUUGGGUGUCAUAUCAAUUAUUUUAUUUUUAGUAUAGCAAGUGAAUUGGAAAUUUGUAUAUGUUCCAUUAUUAGUCAUUGAUUUGAAAGAGUGACGUCUG